rnacentral:misc_RNA from 1 species
UUUCCGUAGGUGAACCUGCGGAAGGAUCAUUAAUGAAUUUCUCAAUUUGAGAUUAUUCCUAUUGUGAUUUUAGUGGAAACAAAAUUGAAUUUGGGGAUUAAACGUGGUAUUUCGAAAGAGAGACCGGCCCCAAUUCAAAAGCCAAAUAUCAUCUUAUUCAAUUAGACUGAUAACAAUUUAUUUAUAUGAUAAUUCAUAAAAUAACUUUCAACAACGGAUCUCUUGGUUCUC